CGGAAGGAUCAUUGUCGAAACCUGCAGAGCAGAAAGACCAGCGGACCCAUUACAACACCCAGGGGCGACGUGCGCAAUGCGCCCCAACCCCUGACGCCGAGUGUGUGCAGCCCUGCCUUGCGCCCUCAGCAUAAAACGAACCCAGGCGCGGAACGCGUCAAGGAAUCAUAACGAAACGAGCUCCUGUUGUGGCCCCGGGGACGGUGAUUGCCGCAGCGGCUGUGUUGUGCUUGGUUUAAGUCUAAAAUGACUCUCGGCAACGGAUAUCUCGGCUCUCGCAUCGAUGAAGAACGUAGCGAAAUGCGAUACUUGGUGUGAAUUGCAGAAUCCCGUGAACCAUCGAGUCUUUGAACGCAAGUUGCGCCUGAAGCCAUCAGGUUGAGGGCACGUCUGCCUGGGUGUCAAACACCGUUGCCCCCCAAAUCCCCUCGUCACUCUCCCCUGAGUGCCCGGGGAGUGUGGGGGUCGGAUGAUGGCCUCCCGUGUGUCUUGGCUCGCGGUUGGCCCAAAGUUGAGUCCUCGGUCACGGUUACCGUGGUGACAGGUGGUUGUCGGUCACUUGGUACCCCGUCACGUGCGCCGGACACGAAUCAAGACUCUCUUGAUUACCCCAACGCAUCCCGCGUGGGUGCUUCUGAUGUGACCCCAGGUCAGGCGGG
rnacentral:rRNA from 1 species